rnacentral:rRNA from 1 species
UACGAAGGUCCCAAGCGUUAUCCGGAUUUAUUGGGUUUAAAGGGUGCGUAGGCGGGUUAUUAAGUCAGUGGUGAAAGCCUUCAGCUUAACUGAAGAAUUGCCAUUGAUACUGAUGAUCUUGAGUAUGAUUGAGGUGGGCGGAAUGUGUCAUGUAGCGGUGAAAUGCUUAGAUAUGACACAGAACACCAAUUGCGAAGGCAGCUCACUACACAAUUAUUGACUCUGAGGCACGAAAGCGUGGGGAUCAAACAGG